GUCUUCUCCGAGACCCGCGGCGCUGGGAGCUCCGCGUGCGAACUUGCCCGGGGCGAAAUCUGUUGCCCACCCUGGUCCCACCGUGCGAGCACACCUAGGCAGAGUGAGCUGUCCACAGGCGCAUACUUGAGCCCACUUGCCCAACUCCUAAGAUCUUAUCGGGAAGCUGCUGAUCAACAGUUCAAGUGUUUUCUAUUAGGAGACUGCCUUUCCCUGGUGCCGGCUGUGACCAACUAUUAUUUUAGAGAGACAAUUAACAACCACCUGACCAUCACCUGAUGGCUGCCUGACAUUCCUGAUGUGUGUGUGUAUGAGGGGGAGCCCUCUCCUGCCCUGCUCAUGCCUGACUAGCUACCUACUGUAACACCUUAACCAGAUUUUCUUUGUCAUGGCUUUUCUUCUCAAAUUUAUCUCUCUUUACCUAAAAAAAUGAAUAAAAGCAUCUUACUUUGGCCACUUCUUCAGACUUCACUCUCUUGUGAAGAUCCCCAUGUGCACAUAAAACUAAUAAAAUGUGUAUACUUUUCUCCUGGUAA